GCUGGAGAGAAUGAGCUUGGAGCCGCAGGGCUUAAUCCCGCGCGGCUCAGAGAUGGGUUUCUGGACUCGCGAAGCAGCUGCAACAAGGCAUCACUCACUGUAUAAGUAUUUCCAUUUCUGAGAGCAAAAGGAAGAACUUAAGCGGGCGGCACUUGGAGUGUAAAUUGCUUUGUAGUAUUUAAAGGCAGAAUGGAUCCUGGGCAGCCGAGCUGCAACAAACCGGCAGGACUUCCUGUGAAAUCAUGACCACCAUGUGCUCUUUCAGCCUCUAUCAGUUCCUACCUCUAAGCACCUGAGAGCCAAAGCAAACCACAGGAAACCACAGGUACUAACUCUUUUAGACCUGAUGAAGUGUCUCCCAAAUACAGUCUGGCAUGAUAUGCAAAUCAGACUACUAAAAAC
rnacentral:lncRNA from 1 species